GACGAACGCUGGCGGCGUGCCUUAUACAUGCAAGUCGAACGAGAAAGCAUUCUUCGGAAUGCGAGUAAAGUGGCGAACGGGUGAGUAACACGUAGGUUACCUGCCUGUGAGUUGGGGAUAACAUGCCUAACGGCGUGCUAAUACCGAAUGUUGCAUUGAGACAUUAGUUUUAAUGUAAAAGAUAUCCUUAGGUUAUCGCUCACAGAUGGGCCUGCGGCUCAUUAGCUAGUUGGUAAGGUAAAGGCUUACCAAGGCAACGAUGGGUAGCCGGCCUGAGAGGGUGGUCGGCCACACUGGGACUGAGAUACGGCCCAGACUCCUACGGGAGGCAGCAGUAAGGAAUAUUGCGCAAUGGUCGCAAGACUGACGCAGCAACGCCGCGUGGAUGAUGACGCUCUAUGGAGUGUAAAGUCCUGUUAGAGGGGAAGA
rnacentral:rRNA from 1 species